rnacentral:ncRNA from 2 species
GGUUGUUCUCAGGGCGGGGUGAAAGUCCCCACCGGCGGUAAGAGUCUCGGCUCAAGCCCGCGAGCGCCUUUUGGCCGGUGCCGAAAGGGUCAGCAGAUCCGGUGCAAUUCCGGAGCCGACGGUUACAGUCCGGAUGAAAGAGAAUGAGC